rnacentral:rRNA from 3 species
GGAUGCGAUCAUACCAGCACUAAAGCACCGGAUCCCAUUAGAACUCCGAAGUUAAGCUUGCUUGGGCGAGAGUAGUACUAGGAUGGGUGACCUCCUGGGAAGUCCUCGUGUUGCAUUCC